rnacentral:tRNA from 1 species
UAGCUCAAUCAGUUGAGCGUGGCGCUAACAACGCCAAGGUCGCGGGUUCGAUUCCUGU